GACGAACGCUGGCGGCGUGCUUAACACAUGCAAGUCGAACGAGUGGCGAACGGGGGAGUAAUACGUGGGUAACCUGCCCUCUCUGUGGGAUAAGACAUGGAAACGGGGUUUAAUACCGAAUAAAGGGGGAGGGGAUCGCGGCCUAUCAGCUUGUUGGUGGGGUGAUGGCCUACCACGGCGGUGACGGGUAGCCGGCCUGAGAGGGUGACCGGCCACGUUGGGACUGCGCUACUGCCCAGGCUCCUACGGGUGGCAGCAGUUGGGGAUAUUGCGCAAUUGGCGAGAGGCUGCUGCGGCGACGCCGCGUGGGGGAUGAAGUCUUACGGCUUGGUAACCUGUUUCGCUAUCGCACCGGUAGGUGGAGAAGAAGCGACGGCUAACUACGUGCCAGCAGCCGCGGUAAUUC
rnacentral:rRNA from 1 species